rnacentral:rRNA from 1 species
UGGGGAAUAUUGGACAAUGGGGGAAACCCUGAUCCAGCCAUGCCGCGUGAGUGAUGAAGGCCUUAGGGUUGUAAAGCUCUUUUACCAGGGAAGAUGAUGACGGUACCUGGAGAAUAAGCACCGGCUAACUUCGUGCCAGCAGCCGCGGUAAUACGAAGGGUGCUAGCGUUGUUCGGAAUCACUGGGCGUAAAGCGUGCGUAGGCGGCUUUGCAAGUCAGGGGUGAAAUGCCAAGGCUUAACCUUGGAACUGCCUUUGAAACUGCGAAGCUGGAGUGUCGGAGGGGAUAGCGGAAUUUCUAAUGUAGCGGUGAAAUGCGUAGAUAUUAGAAGGAACACCGGUGGCGAAGGCGGCUAUCUGGACGACAACUGACGCUGAGGCACGAAAGCGUGGGGAUCAAACAGG